rnacentral:rRNA from 1 species
CCUACGGGUGGCAGCAGUGGGGAAUAUUGGACAAUGGGCGAAAGCCUGAUCCAGCCAUGCCGCGUGAGUGAUGAAGGCCCUAGGGUUGUAAAGCUCUUUCGGCGGGGAAGAUAAUGACGGUACCCGCAGAAGAAGCCCCGGCUAACUUCGUGCCAGCAGCCGCGGUAAUACGAAGGGGGCUAGCGUUGUUCGGAAUUACUGGGCGUAAAGCGCAUGCAGGCGGGUCGUUAAGUCGAGGGUGAAAUCCUGGAGCUCAACUCCAGAACUGCCCCCGAUACUGGCGACCUCGAGUCCGGAAGAGGUGAGUGGAACUCCUAGUGUAGAGGUGGAAUUCGUAGAUAUUAGGAAGAACACCAGUGGCGAAGGCGGCUCACUGGUCCGGUACUGACGCUGAUAUGCGAAAGCGUGGGGAGCAAACAGGAUUAGAUACCCGUGUAGUC